UACGGGGGGGGCAAGCGUUGUUCGGAAUUACUGGGCGUAAAGGGCUCGUAGGCGGCCAACUAAGUCAUACGUGAAAUCCCUCGGCUUAACCGGGGAACUGCGUCUGAUACUGGAUGGCUUGAGUUCGGGAGAGGGAUGCGGAAUUCCAGGUGUAGCGGUGAAAUGCGCAGAUAUCGGGAGGAACACCAAUGGCGAAGGCAGCUCGCUGGGACGGUACUGACGCUGAGACGCGAAAGCGUGGGGAGCGAACAGG
rnacentral:rRNA from 1 species